CAGCCGCCGCGGUAAUACAGAGGGUGCGAGCGUUAAUCGGAUUUACUGGGCGUAAAGCGUGCGUAGGCGGCUUUUUAAGUCGGAUGUGAAAUCCCUGAGCUUAACUUAGGAAUUGCAUUCGAUACUGGGAAGCUAGAGUAUGGGAGAGGAUGGUAAAAUUCCAGGUGUAGCGGUGAAAUGCGUAGAGAUCUGGAGGAAUACCGAUGGCGAAGGCAGCCAUCUGGCCUAAUACUGACGCUGAGGUACGAAAGCAUGGGGAGCAAACAGGAUUAGAUACCCCAGUAGUCCCUGUCUCUUAUAC
rnacentral:rRNA from 1 species